CUACUGAGCAUUACGAAAGGAUGCUGAGUCCCCGCGCUGGCUCCCUGCACUGGAUGGGGUGUUUUAAGGCCAUCAGGCAAGGAUCAACUGCCAAGCAUCUGACAUGGAGAAGCCAAUCUGCCGCCUAUUGUAGUCUCCCCUCCCCCAGCCUGAAACCUGCUUGCUCAGGGGUGGAGCUUUCUGCUCAUUCGUUCUGCCACGCCCACUGCUGGAACCUGCGGAGCCACACACGUGCACCUUUCUACUGGACCAGAGAUUAUUCGGCGGGAAUCGGGUCCCCUCCCCCUUCCUUCAUAACUAGUGUCGCAACAAUAAAAUUUGAGCUUUGAUCAGAAUAACUGUCUUGGCUACAUUUCUUUCUCUCGCCACCUAGCCCCUCUUCUCUUCCAGGUUUCCAAAAUGCCUUUCCAGGCUAGAACCCAGGUUGUGGUCUGCUGGCCGGACACAACAGCCUAUCAUAAUUCCAUGGCUUUCUCGUCUGAAA
rnacentral:lncRNA from 1 species